ensembl:lncRNA
UUCAAUUUUUUGUUCGUGUCAUUCUUGGCUUUACUGUUAUUCAAAAUAACUAAAGUCAUUAUGUCAGCUAUUUUUCCCAGUUUUGCAAAAAUAAAUUAAUCACAAAUGAAGUUAUUUUUAACUGAUUAAUACCAAGAUGUUGCUAUACGCCAGUAAUCUCCACAUCCUGAGCCUUGUCAUUUUUCUCUUUCUGUUUAUGUUACUCAUUUUCUUUGAAGACAAGAAAGAUGACCUACAAAUGGAGGUUCAACAAGAAUGCAUGCAGUUCUCUUUAUUAGCAAGGGAUCUGUGUAGCCGAUUUCUAACUGUUUUCUUGGCUAUAAUGAAGGACAAUGAGAAACACCUUUUGCAAACACUGGAGUUCCAGCUGGAGCAGGCUCUUGAAGACCGUCUGCAAUUCAAGCUGAAGACUGCUGAGCCAGAACUGCAGGAUCUGGUGGUGAAUUUACUUGAUUCUAGUGGAGCCAUUAUCGUUGACCUUGUGGAAGCAGUCCUUUACUUUCUUCAGGCUCUAGAUGAAUUGACUGAACUCCAGCUGUGGUUGCUGGCAGAAUCUGUGGAGAAAAAGAUUGUGUCCAAGGAGGUGACACUGGUAAAAAGUAUUCUGGAUCACAAAUUCAGCAAAAAAGGAGGAAGUUUUACUAUAGAUGUUCAGUCCCUGACUGAAGAGGAGCUGAAUAUAACUGGAGCAAUGAUUGAAAUGAGCAGAGUGACAAUUCAGAAAACCGGACUUAGCCUUGUUCUGACUGGAGAACCUGCUGCUUUAUCUGACUUAAAUGCUCUGUAUGUAGCUCUGUAUGUACUCAGUCUCCUAUCCAAAUAGGAGCUUGACUCGAAAAACAAGGCAUAACAUGAUGGUUAUAAUUUACAGAACAAAUAACCUGUUAUUGUUGUUUGAACUUAUAUACUGCACCACAGUGCUAAAGGACUCACUUUCUGGGUGGUUUACAACAUAAUUAUGCAAACAACAUCUUGCCCCCGAGCAAACUGAGUACUCAUUUUACUGACUUUGGAAAGACAGAAGACUGAAUGAGCCUUCAGUCAGCUAUCUGAAUUUGCUGGGAUUGAAUUCAAUAAAUAUUCUCAGAGACUCUCCCA